UUAUUUUUAGUACUAAACCUGGAAGAGAUAUUAUUGAUAUGAUUUAGCAUCAAAUAUCCAGAAGGAUUAAAGUAAGAGAAAGAGCCGAGACUAGAAGUCUUAAUAGGUUAAGACCUGUAAGAAUGUGCUUUUUGAAUGAAUUUAUUGAGCAUACUUUCUCUUCCAAGAAAAUAAUUUUUCUGUGAUCAAUACCUUUCAUGUGACAUCUGAAUGAAAAAUGGGCAGAAUACACCUUUCUCACUUAGGAAGAGAAUAAUUUUAUUUUAGGGAAAUUCUUUUAUCCUCCUUGAGCCNNNNNNNNNNNNNNNNNNNNNNNNNNNNNNNNNNNNNNNNNNNNNNNNNNNGUAUAUGCUGAAAUAUGUAAUUACUAUUGGUUCCACAGUACAAGUAGCUUAAAGCAGUCAUCUCUUUUACAGAAAGCUUUCAUAUCUUUUCUCAUUUCUCUAAAUUUAGGUACAGUUAUUCUCCUAUCCUUGAAAAUGUUCUCCACAUUGGAAAUGACUCAUGAUUCUUCGGAAAUCUACACAAACACUGAUUUAUUCAAGUGAGCUGUGAUUUAAUUAUUGAUGACUAUAAAAUCCAUUUCCUUUGUAAUAUUCUGGCAGUUAUGGUAUUUGUUUGCUAUUACGUGAUAUUUGGUCUAACAUCCGACAAUGUAAAAUAGUCAGGGUUCAGUUUCAGAGAAGGUAGACUCUUACAUUGCAGAAAGCAUCACAUUUAACUGGCAACCGUUUUUAAGUAUAUACUUCAGUAUGUUGAGUAUAUUUACAUUGUUGUGCAACAGAUCUCUAGAGCUUUUUCUUCUUGAAAAAGUGAAAUUCUGUACCCACUAGAGACUAAAUCUCCCUUCCUCUCCCACUGCCCCUUCACAAUUACAUUUCUAUUUUGUUUUUAUAAUUUUGAUUAAUCAGAUAUACUUUCUAUGAGUAGAAUCAUAUAGUGUUUGUUUUUUUGUGACAGACUUACCUUGCUCAGCAUAAUGACCUUGAGGUGUAUCCAUGUUUUAACAUUGACAAGAUUUCAUUUUAAGACUAUGUAAUAUUCCAUUAUAUGUAUAUGUUGCAUUUUAUUUAUUCAUAUGUUGAUGGAUAUUUGGGUAGCUUUUACCUUUUGGCUCUUAGGAAUGAUGCUGCAAUGAAUAGAAGUGUUCACAUGUCUCUUUAAGAUACUGCUUUGAUCUGUUAGCUAUUCACCCAGAAGUAAAAUUGCCAGAUCAUAUGGCAGUUCCAUUUUUAAUUUUUUGAGGAACCUCUGUAUAAUUUUGCA
rnacentral:lncRNA from 1 species